rnacentral:rRNA from 1 species
GACGAACCGAGCGAACGUUAUCCGGAGUUACUGGGCGUAAAGGGCGUGUAGGCGGUUUGUUAAGUCUGGCGUGAAAGCUCUCGGCUAAACCGGGAGAGGUCGUUGGAUACUGGCAAUCUAGAGGACGGUAGAGGCGUGUGGAAUUCCGGGUGUAGUGGUGAAAUGCGUAGAGAUCCGGAGGAACACCAGUGGCGAAGGCGACACGCUGGGCCGUACCUGACGCUAAAGCGCGACAGCAUGGGGAGCAAACGGG